AUUAGGCCAGGUGUCCUACUUAUAUCCCUGCCCUUUUUGCUUUCUUGGAAGGAUCACUUUGGACCUCCAAGCACAGCAUGUUGUUUGCUCUUGUGCUCUAGGCCUCUUUAUUAAACUUCUCCCUUUCCCGCAACCAUUCCCAUACCCCUCCUGGGUUUUUGUAUGUUUUUUUCCAUCUUUGGCCCAAUUUUAUUGGGGGUGACCCCUUGUGGUGUCGAGCGAGGGGCCUCAUUCGGCGUGGAGAUCCGACCUACCGCCUGGGAUGUGGAUCAUCUUUGAAUGGGCCGUCCGAUGCUGUUCUCCGGUUCACAGCAGUAUUAUUGAGACACCCCACUAAGCUACACAAAUUCUCUGAAGAAGACCUUGUAGGUCGAAACGUUCGUUAGAUUGUUUAUACUGCAAUGCACAUUUUUGGCUGUAUCAACACUAUUUGUGUACUGUAUUAUAUACCUAUGUAAACGCUGUCUGUGCACCUGUCAUAGCUCAUGUUCUAUCCAUCUGUGUUACCCAUUUUUGUCCGAUUCUUUUAACAUGUGAAUAAAUAAAAAAUGUUACUACAUGGUAUUAUAUUCUUCUACACUAGCUGCCUAAUAACCCAACUUGGGAAAAUCCGUUCAUCAUUGAUAUC